GAUGAACGCUGGCGGCGUGCCUAACACAUGCAAGUCGAACGAACAGAAAAGGAGCUUGCUCCUUUGACGUUAGCGGCGGACGGGUGAGUAACACGUGGGCAACCUACCCUAUGGUUUGGGAUAACUCCGGGAAACCGGGGCUAAUACCGAAUAAUCUCUUUUGCUUCAUGGUGAAAGACUGAAAGACGGUUUCGGCUGUUGCUAUAGGAUGGGCCCGCGGCGCAUUAGCUAGUUGGUGAGGUAACGGCUCACCAAGGCGACGAUGCGUAGCCGACCUGAGAGGGUGAUCGGCCACACUGGGACUGAGACACGGCCCAGACUCCUACGGGAGGCAGCAGUAGGGAAUCUUCCACAAUGGGCGAAAGCCUGAUGGAGCAACGCCGCGUGAGUGAAGAAGGUUUUCGGAUCGUAAAACUCUGUUGUAAGGGAAGAACAGGUACAGUAGUAACUGGCUGUACCUUGACGGUACCUUAUUAGAAAGCCACGGCUAACUACGUGCCAGCCGCCGCAGUAA
rnacentral:rRNA from 1 species